rnacentral:rRNA from 1 species
UACGUAGGUGGCAAGCGUUGUCCGGAUUUAUUGGGUUUAAAGGGUGCGUAGGCGGCUUUGUAAGUCAGUGGUGAAAUAUGGCAGCUCAACUGUCAAGGUGCCAUUGAUACUGCGGAGCUUGAGUACAGAUGAGGUAGGCGGAAUUGACGGUGUAGCGGUGAAAUGCUUAGAUAUCGUCAAGAACACCUAUAGCGAAGGCAGCUUACUAGGCUGUAACCGACGCUGAGGCACGAAAGUGUGGGGAUCAAACAGG